GAGGGGCAUCGGGGCGAGGAGCAAUCCUUGCCGCCGGCGACCGGCGCACGGGUGAGUAACGCGUAUGCGACCUGCCCGUUGCAGGGGGAUAAUCGGGAGAAAUCCCGUCUAAUACCGCGUAACGCCGCGGGGCCGCAUGGCCCUGCGGCCAAAGGAAGCGAUUCCGGCAACGGAUGGGCAUGCGUGACAUUAGCUAGUUGGCGGGGCAACGGCCCACCAAGGCGACGAUGUCUAGGGGUUCUGAGAGGAAGGUCCCCCACACUGGUACUGAGACACGGACCAGACUCCUACGGGAGGCAGCAGUGAGGAAUAUUGGUCAAUGGGCGCGAGCCUGAACCAGCCAAGUCGCGUGAGGGAUGACGGCCCUACGGGUUGUAAACCUCUUUUGUCGGGGAGCAAAUUCCGCCACGUGUGGCGGAGUCGAGAGUACCCGAAGAAAAAGCAUCGGCUAACUCCGUGCCAGCAGCCGCGGUAAUACGGAGGAUGCGAGCGUUAUCCGGAUUUAUUGGGUUUAAAGGGUGCGUAGGCGGACUGUCAAGUCAGCGGUAAAAUACGGGGGCUCAACCUCCGCCCGCCGUUGAAACUGACGGUCUUGAGUGGGCGAGAAGUAUGCGGAAUGCGUGGUGUAGCGGUGAAAUGCAUAGAUAUCACGCAGAACUCCGAUUGCGAAGGCAGCAUACCGGCGCCCAACUGACGCUGAAGCACGAAAGCGUGGGUAUCGAACAGGAUUAGAUACCCUGGUAGUCCACGCAGUAAACGAUGAAUACUAGCUGUCCGGGGCGAAUGAGCCCUGGGUGGCACAGCGAAAGCGUUAAGUAUUCCACCUGGGGAGUACGCCGGCAACGGUGAAACUCAAAGGAAUUGACGGGGGCCCGCACAAGCGGAGGAACAUGUGGUUUAAUUCGAUGAUACGCGAGGAACCUUACCCGGGCUCAAACGACAUAGGAACGUACCUGAAAGGGUUCGGCUCUACGGAGCUUGUGUCGAGGUGCUGCAUGGUUGUCGUCAGCUCGUGCCGUGAGGUGUCGGCUUAAGUGCCAUAACGAGCGCAACCCCCAUCGACAGUUGCUAACAGGUCAGGCUGAGGACUCUGUCGAGACUGCCGGCGCAAGCUGCGAGGAAGGCGGGGAUGACGUCAAAUCAGCACGGCCCUUACGUCCGGGGCGACACACGUGUUACAAUGGCAGGUACAGCGGGAAGCCACCUGGCGACAGGGAGCGGAACCCGAAAGCCUGUCUCAGUUCGGAUUGGAGUCUGCAACCCGACUCCAUGAAGCUGGAUUCGCUAGUAAUCGCGCAUCAGCCACGGCGCGGUGAAUACGUUCCCGGGC
rnacentral:rRNA from 1 species